UUUUUUUGAAACAUGCUCUGACCUGUAUAAUUUGAUCCUGCUUACAUCCAAAUGCUAGGAGAACUGGCUUAAGAGAAAGUCUUCUUGCAACUGAAGCAGUUCAUGUUAGGCAGUGGUUCCAACUGAUGCAAAUGCUAGUGAAUAGUUAACCCCCAAAGGAAACUUAAUCAAAUCCUAUACAUGGGAAUAAUAUGAGAACUCCGCAUCUCCCCUGCUGCACAGUCUAAUGGAAGGAGGCGCUAGGGUGGGAAAACAUCAAGAAGAAAAAUGUCAGUUUUUUGCUUUCAAAGUUUUGCCUGGGGAGCCCUCUGAGAACCGUCUCAUUUCAGGCUGGUCCAUGCCGGGUUAAUGCUGGGUGAGAGCCAAAUACAAAUGAAAUCUCACUGAACUGCAGUUUGCUUAUUCGUUUCCUCAUACACACUGAUCUUUCGAAAUGCUUACAACUCGUGCUUUUUCAGACCAGGGAAGAGCCAUUGCAAAGCUGGAAAGAGUCCAAAAAAGUUUCUCCCUCUUUCUUCUCCCGUCGGGGAGUGCAAGGAAAUCAUGCGUUUGGUGAGAUCCUCUCCUGUCUGUCAGUCCUCCUGGGAGGGAGGCUCCACAGCCUCCUCCUGGAUCAGAUUUUAUGGCAAUAACAGCCCUUCGAAUGAGAAAAAUCCCUUCCAUCAGCGGAACCUGAAAGCUGUCACCUGGCAGUUUCCUAGGCUGUGGAUCUACCCAUAUGCCUUCCAUUGAUUCCUCUUCAGCCUUCUCUUCUCCAGGGAAAAUAAUCCUUGAAGAGGGCAGAUCGGGGAGAUACAACUGUCCAGCAUUCAGGCAAAGCACAAAAGAGCCAAAAAUAGAGAAUCAUCUGCCUUCCCCUGCAGAUGUGCCCCACUGAGGCUGAGUGGGUCUCUCGAGACUCUUCAAUAGAACAAGUAAGGCCUCACAAUCGAGAAACCCUGUUGUCUCCAGGAAACACUGGUUGGGAUGGUAGCAAGAGUUACAGCAAGAGAGUGUUUGGUUAGACCGAAGGAAGCACUGUUGGGAAGGACACACUUGAACCCAGAGGUUGGAGGCAUCAUGAAGCCUUUGCCCCCAGAGAGUCAUUAGUCACGGAUGGUUUCAUUGGUCACCUGCAGGGAAGCAAGUGAGCCAAGCGACCUCUUGAAAUCCUUCCCAGCAAGAGUGUCCUUUGAUUCUAGAAACCCAGCAAGUUUCCCUUCUACUCCGAUUGUACUCUGAACUCCAUGUGAGUGAGCCUGGCGGGGCUUUAACCACUCGGUCUCUAGACUUCCUCCACUGUAAAACACUGGGGGUUGUAAUAAUGUGGGUGCCAAGUCCAAGGGGCCAGGAAGCUGGACGUCUUGCAGGUGCCAGAUUUCUGUUAAAUACGGUGGCACUGCUGAGCUGGCCAACAGUGUGUGGCUGAGCUCCUGCAGGAAGCCUGGGGAAGAGAGGCUGCAUGGAAGUUUUCCAGGGUAUCCAACGGAUGUUUGCCUCCAGGAGGAAUGCAUUGUAGUGCACUUUUAGGUGGGCUGCAAAUAGGGGAUCUUUUUCUGGAAGGGAGUUCUGCGUUUACAGUCCUUUUCCCCAGCACCCUGAAAUGCCUUCUAACUACAGCAUGAGCUAAACAUAAGCACCAGGCCGGGUAUGUACAAUCUCUCAGCAGAUAAUAAUUUCUGCACUGAUGUUGCGGAGCGUGUCUCUUGCAUUCCAUGAAAAUGCUCAUAUUCAUACUCAAAGACUAGGCAAGCCCAGCAGCAGACAGGCCCCUCUGGGAAUCUGUAGCAUAAACGGUGCUUUCUCCUUCAACAAAGCCUUUGGGCUGACCAUGGCUUUGGGAGCCACCAGUGACCACAACCACAAACCACAGGGCAUUAAGCGUUCGUGUAUAGAAACAGGAGGAGACAUGUCACACGCUUCCCUAUCUCGUCCACCCCAGUAGAAUACAAAGGGCAAGUGGCCUUGUCUUGGGCACUAAGGGACAGAUCUGUGCGGUAGCUGUUACCCAAAUGGCAGUUCUGUCUGUUCGAGGGAGGUAGGAGUCUCGGAGCAGGGCUCCCAGGCACAGACACAAGCCACGCUCCCCUCUUCAGGGUGGGUACUUGGGUAACAGAGGACACCCAGGCAUGGGGGUAAGAAUACCUAAUGCCAGGCCCGGCUCUCUGACAAAUAGUCCUUGCUGCCUUGGACAAACUGCCUUCUCUCUCCUGGGCUCACUUCUCUAGUUUAGAGAAUCAUUGGUGUUAUUCAGAUGCGGGGGCUCCACUCAGACCAGUUUCUAGAGGUGGGGACUUCUAGUGAAGUUUGAAAAACUCCCCAAACUCCCCAGGUGCUACUGAUGAGCACAUUAAAUAAUAAUAGUAAUAGUAAUAAUAAUAAUAAAAGGACCAGAGGAUUAAGAUUAAUGCCCCAGGAUUGAGAGGAAAGAGGAAAGUCAGUAGGUAGCUCCAUAAAGUCAACAGCUUAUCACUCAGCCCAGGUUAGGCCCCCCCACUUCCAAACAUGGUCAGGAACCCCCUGCCGGUUGGUGCAGUUUCUCCGGUGGUGGCUGGGCUUGCUUCUGAAAGUUUAUACUGUCUAAUGAAAACGCCUGUGUGCUCAAGUCUUGAAUGCAUUAACAAAUAAUUAAGAUAAUUCUGUAAUUACCAGACAUGACCUCACGAGUUACCCUUAUCCUAAUGGAAUCUGCUGAGGAUGCUUGCUCUCCUCUUCUGGAGAUGUGAUCCACGACCUCCUAAGUUCUCCAACAGGGAUUCUGAGAGGGCCAACUGGCUGAGCUGGACACGUUGCCAAGGGUUACACUCACGGCUCUGUUCUGAUCUGAGCACUUUCCUUCGUAGGACACAUCUGUGGGUGGCGAAUGGUGGUGAGACGAAGGUUGCAUUUGGCCAGGGAGCCCAGGAAGGCCCAGACCCUGUCCUCUGGCCCGCAGCCCCUCUCCAAUGAAGUCCCCAAGGGAAACCCAUGCUCAGAGAAUAACGGGUGACCGCUAAGACUGUGCCUCUGAGACACAGGCCCAAUGUGGGUGUCUAGGCUGGACAGAGCUCACGCCAAACCCCUCUGAUGUAGGCAUGAGGCAGCUGCUUUUAAUCCUUUAUCCUUUUCACAUAAGUCCAUCCCCAGGUCUGGAUCUUACCAUAUCCAGGAGAGGAAAGUCCAGGUGACAAGAAGAGAGCACGAGGGACAGGCCUCUGGGGGAAAAGGGCAUUUGUGCCACUACCAGAGCAGAGCUGGUCCAGACUGCCAUCCCAGGCCUCACCUCAGAGCUGUAGUCUUUUGGACAUAGACAAAUGCAAGAGUCCAAAGAAAAAUUGCUAGAGAGAGCCAAAACGAAGAUGGAUGCUGCUCCUCCAGCAGGGAGAGAAAAAAAUGAUGGGCCACCUUCUGCUUAGAGGCAGCUGGGAAGGCUCUUGAGAAAAGACUCUGGUGCCACCAAGGACCCCUCACUGGGGCGGGGUUCCCACCAAGGGUUUCUCUUUCUCUCUGUCUCUGUUUUUUUCCACACCCAAGGUAUGGGGAAGUUCCCGGGCCAGGGAUCGAACGCAAGCUACAGUGUGGCAACACCAGAUCCUUAACCUGCUGUGCCAUGAGGGAACUCAAAGUGCUCCUCUCUGGUUAAGGGCAGAGGUUGUGUCUUUCUCUCCCGUUUUCCUGGGAUUAGCAUAGUUGCUGGCAUAUUGGAUCCUCCGGGCUUAUUAUAGACCGAAUGUGUCCCCCCAGAUUCAAAUGUUGGAGCCCUGACCCCCGGCGCGAUGGGAUUUGGGAUGGGGCCUUUGGGCGGUCAGUCAGGUUCAAUGAGGCCAUGAGGGUGGGGCUCUUAUGUUGGGAUUAGUGCCCUUAUGAGAAGAGACGCCAGAGAGAUUGCUCUCUGCCUCAACACCAGGAAGAAGCCUUGUGAGCACACGGGGAGAUGGUGGCCACUUGCAAGCCAACAGAAGAGGCCUUGGAAUGAAACCUACCUUGUCAGCCGUUUGAUCUUGGACUUCUAGCCUCCAGAAUUGCAAGAAAUGACUUUCUGUUUCUACUGUUCAGUCUACGGUAUUUUGUUAUGGCAGCCUGAGGUAAGAUGGUGCUCAGUGUGUUUUAGUGGAAUGACUGAAAGACUGAACACAUGAGUAACAUUUUGCUUUCCAUAGAGGUAUAGUGGGAUGGCUACGAUACCACAUCCUCUGAGAAGCAAAGGAUGCCCAACGCAAACAGGCUUAAGCAGAAAUGGAGACUAUAUUGGUUCCUGCAACUGAAAAGGCCAGGAGUUACUGUCUUUGAGCACAACUGGACUGAGAGCACAAAUGCUGCUUUCGGGAAUGUUUCUUUCUCUCUCCACCUCUCUGCUCUGCUGUGUUCUGUGUUGACUUCAUACUCAGCAGGAUUUCUCCAAGCGUUCCUAUGACCAGGCUGGCAACCCCAGUUCAAAGCAAGCAUUGCUUUCCCAAUACUUGGAGCCAAAGCUCCAUAGUUGCUUCUCACUGGACUGACUUGGGACACGUGAUAUUCUGAAUGCCCUGUGGCCAGAAGGGUGGGAAUUGUGGGUGGGUUAUGUGCUCCUCCACGGGGGCUGUAGGGUCAGUCCCACAGGAACCUCAGGCCUUCCAAAGGAGGGAGGAGUUCCCCAAAGGCAAAUGAAGUCCCUUACCUCAAGAAGGAGACCAGAUACAGCUCAGGCAAAACAAACACAACUGUCCAUGGAGUUUCCACUGUGGCUCAGCAGUUAAGAACCCGACUGGUAUCCAUGAGGAUGUGGUUAGAUCCCUGGCCUUGUUCAGUGGGUUAAGGAUCUGGCAUUGCCACAAGCUAUGGCAUAUGUUGCAGAUGCAGCUCAGAUCCCAUGUUUCUGGGCCUGUGGUGUAGGCUGGCAGCUGCAGCUCUGAUUUGACUCCCAGCCUGAGAACUUCCAUAUGACGCAGGUAUAACCCUGAAAAAAAAAAAAA
rnacentral:lncRNA from 1 species